GACGAACGCUGGCGGCGUGCUUAACACAUGCAAGUCGAACGGUAAGGCCCUUCGGGGUACACGAGUGGCGAACGGGUGAGUAACACGUGGGUGAUCUGCCCUGCACUUCGGGAUAAGCCUGGGAAACUGGGUCUAAUACCGGAUAGGACUCCUGGCUUCAUGGUUGGGGGUGGAAAGCUUUUGCGGUGUGGGAUGGGCCCGCGGCCUAUCAGCUUGUUGGAGGGGUAAUGGCCUACCAAGGCGACGACGGGUAGCCGGCCUGAGAGGGUGACCGGUCACGCUGGGACGGAGAUACGGCCCAGACUCCUACGUGAGGCAGCAGUGGGGAAUAUUGCACAAUGGGCGCAAGCCCGAUGCAGCGACGCCGCGUGAGGGAUGACGGCCUUCGGGUUGUAAACCUCUUUCAGCUAUGACGAAGCGCAAGUGACGGUAGUAGCAGAAGAAGGACCGGCCAACUACGUGCCAGCCGCCGCGGUAA
rnacentral:rRNA from 1 species